AUGAACGCUGGCGGCAUGUCUAAGGCAUGCAAGUCGAACGAUUCGUUUUUCUUCGGAAAAACUAAAUAGUGGCAAACGGGAGCGGAACACAUUGGUAACCUACCUCGGACUCGUGAACAACCAUUGGAAACGAUGGCUAAUACACGAUAUAGAUGGGGGGACUUCGGUCAUUCCCAUUGAAAGGUCCGCCGGUUCGAGAGGGGCCUAUGUCCUAUCAGCUAGUUGGUGUGGUAAUGGCUCACCAAGGCAACGACGGGUACCGGGCGUGAGAGCGUGGCCCGGCUCACUGGGACUGAGACACUGCCCAGACUCCUACGGGAGGCUGCAGUCAAGAAUCUUCCGCAAUGCACGAAAGUGUGACGGAGCAAUGCCGCGUGAUCGAUGAAGGCCUUCGGGUCGUAAAGAUCUUUUAUUAGGGACGAACAAAUGACGGUACCUAAUGAAUAAGAGGUUGCUAACUCUGU
rnacentral:rRNA from 1 species